rnacentral:rRNA from 1 species
AUGCCUGUUCGAGCGUCAUUAUCACCCCUCAAGCCCCGGCUUGGUGUUGGGCCCGCGGUGGUCGUUCGCGACUACCCGCCCCAAAGAUAG